rnacentral:rRNA from 1 species
CGCUGAGUUUGAUCCUGGCUCAGGAUGAACGCUAGCGGCAGGCUUAACACAUGCAAGUCGAGGGGUAUAGUUCUUCGGAACUAGAGACCGGCGCACGGGUGCGUAACGCGUAUGCAAUCUACCUUUUAUAGAGGGAUAGCCCAGAGAAAUUUGGAUUAAUACCUCAUAGUAUGUGAGAAUCGCAUGGUUUUCACAUUAAAGUUCCAACGGUAAAAGAUGAGCAUGCGUCCCAUUAGCUAGAUGGUAAGUAACGGCUUACCAUGGCGACGAUGGGUAGGGGUCCUGAG